AAUUAUCCCAGUGAGGAUUAUUGACCAGAGGAUUGUUGCCUUGGUGUUUGAGGGGCAAAAGAAUCAACUUCCAAGGCUGAAGAAGCUCCCUUUCGCUCUGGAGUACGGACGUCUUUUGCCUAGAGAUGGCCAAGGCACAGGAAAAGAGAAAUCCGGCUAAGAUGCAGGUCCUCCGCCCAGUUCUUCUGGAGCCAGUGAAGGGCAGGAAGUAUUUCCAGAACUGCUACCAGGGUCUCAUCAAAGCAGCGAUGCUCAGGCAGAAGCAUGCAAGACGAAGAGCUGAAAGUGUUACUAAAAUUCAAGUGUGGUGCAACCCAGAGCGCAGCUCCCAGAGGCAGCGAACAGACGCAGCAGUUUGCGCAGCAGUUUGCGCAGCAGUUUGCGCAGCAGUUUGCGCAGCAGUUUGCGCAGCAGUUUGCGCAGCAGUUUGCGCAGCAGUUUGCGCGAAGGGACGUGCGAAGGGACCUUCAUUUCUGUUCCCUGUGGUGUACACUUCCUCAAGUAUGGUCGUGACACGCCGCACAGCGCGUUCCCCAGUGACUGUUGGAGUUGCUGCAUCAGAGGCUUGGACCCAGACUGACCCUCUGACAGUAGAUGCGGCUCUAC
rnacentral:lncRNA from 1 species